AAGAAACCAACAGGGAUUGCCUCAGUAACGGCGAGUGAAGCGGCAAAAGCUCAAAUUUUAAAGCUGGCACCUCCGGUGUCCGCGUUGUAAUUUUGUGAGGCAUCUCCGGGUGGGGCGCCGGCCUAAGUUCCUUGGAACAGGACGUCAUAGAGGGUGAGAAUCCCGUGCUUGGCUGGCUGUCCCCGUCCAUGUGAGGUGUCUUCGACGAGUCGAGUUGUUUGGGAAUGCAGCUCAAAAUGGGUGGUAAAUUUCAUCUAAAGCUAAAUAUUGGUGGGAGACCGAUAGCGCACAAGUAGAGUGAUCGAAAGAUGAAAAGCACUUUGAAAAUAGAGUUAAAAAGUACGUGAAAUUGUUGAAAGGGAAGCGCUUGAGACCAGACUUCGGUGGGGAGUGAUCAGCCGUCCUUCUGGGCGGUGCACUUGCCCCCCUCCGGGCCAGCAUCGGUUGGGACGGCGGGAUAAAGGUCCCGGGAAUGUGGCUCCUCUCGGGGAGUGUUAUAGCCCGGGUGAAUGCCGCCAGCCCCGACCGAGGACCGCGCCUUCGGGCUAGGAUGCUUGGCAUAAUGGU
rnacentral:rRNA from 1 species